CCUACGGGAGGCAGCAGUGAGGAAUAUUGGACAAUGGGCGAGAGCCUGAUCCAGCCACGCAGCGUGAAGGAUGAAUGCCCUACGGGUUGUAAGCUUCUUUUAUAAAGGAAUAAAGUGCGGCACGUGUGCCAUUUUGUAUGUACUUUAUGAAUCAGGCUCGGCUAAAUCCGUGCCAGCAGCCGCGGUAAUACGGAGGAUCCGAGCGUUAUCCGGAUUUAUUGGGUUUAAAGGGAGCGUAGAUGGGUUGGUAAGUCAGUUGUGAAAGUUUGCGGCUCAACCGUAAAAUUGCAAUUGAUACUGGCAGUCUUGAGUACAGUUGAGGUAGGCGGAAUUCGUAGUGUAGCGGUGAAAUGCGUAGAUAUCACGAAGAACUCCGAUGGCGAAGGCAGCUUACUAAACUGCCACUGACAUUGAUGCUCGAAAGUGUGGGUAUCAAACAGGAUUAGAUACCCGUGUAGUC
rnacentral:rRNA from 1 species